UACGUAGGGCGCAAGCGUUGUCCGGAAUUAUUGGGCGUAAAGAGCUCGUAGGUGGCUUGUCACGUCGGGUGUGAAAGCUUGGGGCUUAACUCCAGGUCUGCAUUCGAUACGGGCUGGCUAGAGGUAGGUAGGGGAGAACGGAAUUCCUGGUGUAGCGGUGAAAUGCGCAGAUAUCAGGAAGAACACCGGUGGCGAAGGCGGCUCUCUGGGCCUUACCUGACGCUGAGGAGCGAAAGCGUGGGUAGCGAACAGG
rnacentral:rRNA from 1 species